rnacentral:rRNA from 1 species
CACGUAGGGGGCGAGCGUUGUCCGGAUUUAUUGGGCGUAAAGAGCUCGUAGGCGGCUCGGUAAGUCGGGUGUGGAAUUUCGAGGCUCAACCUCGAAACGCCACCCGAUACUGCUGUGGCUAGAGUCCGGUAGGGGAGCGUGGAAUUCCUGGUGUAGCGGUGAAAUGCGCAGAUAUCAGGAGGAACACCAGCGGCGAAGGCGGCGCUCUGGGCCGGUACUGACGCUGAGACGCGAAAGCGUGGGGAGCAAACAGG